rnacentral:rRNA from 1 species
UACGUAGGCAGCAAGCGUUGUUCGGAGUUACUGGGCGUAAAGGGCGCGUAGGCGGCCUUCUAAGUCAGACGUGAAAUCCCCCGGCUUAACCUGGGAACUGCGUCUGAUACUGGGAGGCUCGAGUAUGGGAGAGGGAUGUAGAAUUCCAGGUGUAGCGGUGAAAUGCGUAGAUAUCUGGAGGAAUACCGGUGGCGAAGGCGGCAUCCUGGGCCAACACUGACGCUCAUGCACGAAAGCGUGGGGAGCAAACAGG